GAUGAACGCUGGCGGCGUGCCUAAUACAUGCAAGUCGAGCGAACAGACGAGGAGCUUGCUCCUCUGACGUUAGCGGCGGACGGGUGGGUAACACGUGGAUAACCUACCUAUAAGACUGGGAUAACUUCGGGAAACCGGAGCUAAUACCGGAUAAUAUAUUGAACCGCAUGGUUCAAUAGUGAAAGACGGUUUUGCUGUCACUUAUAGAUGGAUCCGCGCCGCAUUAGCUAGUUGGUAAGGUAACGGCUUACCAAGGCAACGAUGCGUAGCCGACCUGAGAGGGUGAGCGGCCACACUGGAACUGAGACACGGUCCAGACUCCUACGGGAGGCAGCAGUAGGGAAUCUUCCGCAAUGGGCGAAAGCCUGACGGAGCAACGCCGAGUGAGUGAUGAAGGUCUUCGGAUCGUAAAACUCUGUUAUUAGGGAAGAACAAAUGUGUAAGUAACUAUGCACGUCUUGACGGUACCUAAUCAGAAAGCCACGGCUAACUACGUG
rnacentral:rRNA from 1 species